CUCUCUCUUUGUUCCUCCCAAAACCCUAAUUAACCUUUCUAUAUUUUCCAACUUUCUUUGAAUGGCAACUUCUGAGACGGUGAAUCAGGAAGAUCCUCAACCACAAGUUUUACUUUCUAUCAACCACAACAAGACUCCAUUCCACAACAACAAUAUUAUUACGUGGAAGAACCUGAAAUUCAAGAAGUUAUUCAAAAUGAUCAAGAUGAUCAUUCACUACUAGAAAUGUGUAAUGGGACAUUCAUCCACAUUCCACAACAACCAUAUUAUCAUGUGGAUGAACCCGAAAUUGAAGAAGUUACCGAAGAUGAAGAUGAUCAUAUACCUAGGGCCGUCUCCGAAAAUCCUUAAAAAGAUUUGGGCCAUGGGCAAGUAGAUAAAACGGCCCCUUAUAAUAUAGUCAAUGAUACAAUUUUGAAAAGAAAAAAUAUAUGUAUCUGAAUUAGCACACAGACACACAUAUAUAUAUACACACACAUACUAGAAAAUAUAAUAAUAAAUGAAAAACUGGGGCCCAAAAAUAUAUAUAAACUAGCAGGAUCAAACUCGCACGUUUCAUACGGUGAAAACUCUGUUUGUUUCAACACACUCGCUAUAGCAAAUGAAAGAAAAAACCUCAAAAAUAUAGUCGUAAUAGUCUAAAAUGUGUUCACUUCAUUAGUUUUGUAUAAUAAAAAAGAGAAAACAUUCAAAUAAUUACUAAAAGUUGUUAAGUUUAAUUUAACUUAAAUAAUAAACAAAACAAAAAAACAGUAAAUAACAAAAAAAAACUUUUAAAAAAGUAAAUAACAAAAUGUUUCAGUUUUAAAUUAGAAAAAAGUAAACUUAAAAUGAACGAAAGAACAAAACAAUAAAAAGUAAAAAAAGAUUCUCAUGCUAAAGAAAAACAAUAAGAAACAAAAAGGAAAAAUAAAGGGAAUUUUUUUUUUCAAAAAAUCUAGAACACUUGUGAGUCGAACGCGCGUUGCUUCUAUCUCCUACCUUUUGAAAUGCAAAGUGAAGGCCAUUAAAACCAACAGAUGCCAUACAAAAUGAAUCUAAAACAAAAUACAUAUAUAAACACUAAAUAAAAUUUUAUAAAAAAGAUUCGGACCCCGGGAGAGUUUGGCCUUGCGUGGUUGCCCACCCUUCACUCCCUCCAAACCGGCCUGCAUAUACUAGUGUUGCCUACUCAACCCAUGUCUCAUGAGGCAUUCAUCAGCAUUCCACAACAACAUUUCUAUCAUGUGUAAGAACCUAAAGAAGAAGAUCGUCCACCACCAACGUUACCAACGCAACUAGUGUAUCGUGGGACAGUCGUAAAAAUUCCACGACGACGAUAAUAUUACUACGUGGAAAGUCUCGAAAAUGAUGAUCAUCGAGCACAACAAGUGUUACAUAUUCAACCUGUCGAGGGUGAUUCAAUGUUCCAAGCCGAGGUUAAACGUUUACUUCAGUCGUAUCUGAUGUUACUGGCUAUUAAUCGAUACUUUGAUAUAUCCCAUAUCAAAUGGCUGUUUGUGGUGUCUUUCUAUUGUUUUAUGGUGGUUGUUUGGAGUGGUGGUGCCGCUAUGCGUUGCGAGAAACAUCCGAGCUUUUUUCGCCGCUUCACUACCCUAAAUAAAACGACCUUCUUUAUGUUCGUUUAUGGUGCGUUUACAACAUUGAUGAUAGCUAUAUCAACUGCUCUUCUUCAAAGUAUUAAUUGCCCCUGGCCUCGUCAUUGUAUGUCGAAGUAGAAAAAUGGGUGAUCAUUAUAUAUAUAUAUAUAUAUAUAUAUAUAUAUAUAUAUCCCUUUUUAAUAUAUGGAUAUAUAGUCUCCACAACCAGCACUUACAGUAGAAAAAUGGGUAAUUAGUAUAUGUUAUUGUAAACUAGUGGGAAAGCCCGCGCGUUGCAGCGGGUACGUCUGUUUUGCCGUCUUGUAGUUGUUGUUAGGGCUUCUUGUGUCUGUAUGAUGAUUGUGGACUAUUCCUUAUGACGACAACAUUUUAUGGAAAUAAAAGAUGAAAAUACAAUAUUAAGCUUUCA